rnacentral:rRNA from 1 species
UACGUAGGUGGCGAGCGUUGUCCGGAUUUACUGGGCGUAAAGGGAGCGUAGGCGGACUUUUAAGUGAGAUGUGAAAUACUCGGGCUUAACCUGAGUGCUGCAUUUCAAACUGGAAGUCUAGAGUGCAGGAGAGGAGAAGGGAAUUCCUAGUGUAGCGGUGAAAUGCGUAGAGAUUAGGAAGAACACCAGUGGCGAAGGCGCUUCUCUGGACUGUAACUGACGCUGAGGCUCGAAAGCGUGGGGAGCAAACAGG